AUUGAACGCUGGCGGCAGGCCUAACACAUGCAAGUCGAGCGAGCGGCGGACGGGUGAGUAAUGUCUGGGAAACUGCCUGAUGGAGGGGGAUAACUACUGGAAACGGUAGCUAAUACCGCAUACCAUCAGAUGUGCCCAGAUGGGAUUAGCUGGUAGGUGGGGUAACGGCUCACCUAGGCGACGAUCCCUAGCUGGUCUGAGAGGAUGACCAGCCAACAUGGAACGUGGCAACGGUCCCGACCCCUUCGGGAGGGCGGAGUGGGGAAUAUUGCACAAUGGGGGCAAGCCCGAUGCAGCCCUGGCGGGGGUGUGAAGAAGGCCUUCGGGUUGUAAAACACUUUCAGCGGGGAGGCGUUAACCGCAGAAGAAGCACCGGCUAACUCCGUGCCAGCAGCCGCGGUAAUAC
rnacentral:rRNA from 1 species